rnacentral:rRNA from 1 species
GUCAAAAAGAUUAAGUUAUUAAGGGCGCACGGUGGAUGCCUUGGCACUAGAAGCCGACGAAGGACGUUACUAACGACGAUAUGCUUUGGGGAGCUGUAAGUAAGCUUUGAUCCAGAGAUUUCCGAAUGGGGAAACCCAGCACGAGUUAUGUCGUGUUAUCGAUAUGUGAAUACAUAGCAUAUCUGAAGGCAGACGCGGAGAACUGAAACAUCUUAGUACCCGCAGGAAGAGAAAGAAAAAUCGAUUCCCUGAGUAGCGGCGAGCGAAACGGGAAGAGCCCAAACCAACGAGCUUGCUUGUUGGGGUUGUAGGACACUCUAUACGGAGUUACAAAAGAACAGACUAGACGAAUCAUCUGGAAAGAUGAAUCAAAGAAGGUAAUAAUCCUGUAGUCGAAAGUUUGUUCACUCUUGAGUGGAUCCUGAGUACGACGGAACACGAGAAAUUCCGUCGGAAUCUGGGAGGACCAUCUCCCAAGGCUAAAUACUCUCUAGUGACCGAUAGUGAACCAGUACCGUGAGGGAAAGGUGAAAAGUACCCCGGAAGGGGAGUGAAAUAGAACUUGAAACCGUGUGCUUACAAGUAGUCAGAGCCCGUUAAUGGGUGAUGGCGUGCCUUUUGUAGAAUGAACCGGCGAGUUACGAUUUGAUGCAAGGUUAAGCAGUGAAUGUGGAGCCGUAGCGAAAGCGAGUCUGAAUAGGGCGUUGAGUAUUUGGUCGUAGACCCGAAACCAGGUGAUCUACCCAUGACCAGGUUGAAGUUCAGGUAACACUGAAUGGAGGACCGAACCGACUUACGUUGAAAAGUGAGCGGAUGAGUUGUGGGUAGCGGAGAAAUUCCAAUCGAACCUGGAGAUAGCUGGUUCUCUCCGAAAUAGCUUUAGGGCUAGCCUCAAGUGAUGAUUAUUGGAGGUAGAGCACUGUUUGGACGAGGGGCCCUUAUCGGGUUACCGAAUUCAGACAAACUCCGAAUGCCAAUCAAUUUAACUUGGGAGUCAGAACGCGGGUGAUAAGGUCCGUGUUCGAAAGGGAAACAGCCCAGACCACCAGCUAAGGUCCCAAAAUAUAUGUUAAGUGGAAAAGGAUGUGGCGUUGCCCAGACAACUAGGAUGUUGGCUUAGAAGCAGCCAUCAUUUAAAGAGUGCGUAAUAGCUCACUAGUCGAGUGACACUGCGCCGAAAAUGUACCGGGGCUAAACAUAUUACCGAAGCUGUGGAUUGUCCGUAAGGACAAUGGUAGGAGAGCGUUCUAAGGGCGUUGAAGCAUGAUCGCAAGGACAUGUGGAGCGCUUAGAAGUGAGAAUGCCGGUGUGAGUAGCGAAAGACGGGUGAGAAUCCCGUCCACCGAUUGACUAAGGUUUCCAGAGGAAGGCUCGUCCGCUCUGGGUUAGUCGGGUCCUAAGCUGAGGCCGAUAGGCGUAGGCGAUGGAUAACAGGUUGAUAUUCCUGUACCACCAUUAUUCGUUUUAAGCGAUGGGGGACGCAGUAGGAUAGGCGAAGCGUACGAUUGGAUUGUACGUCCAAGCAGUGAGAUUGAGUGUUAGGCAAAUCCGGCACUCUUAAGAUUGAGCUGUGAUGGGGAGAGGAAAUUGUUUCCUCGAGUCGUUGAUUUCACACUGCCAAGAAAAGCCUCUAGCUAGAAUUGUGGUGCCCGUACCGCAAACCGACACAGGUAGUCAAGAUGAGAAUUCUAAGGUGAGCGAGCGAACUCUCGUUAAGGAACUCGGCAAAAUGACCCCGUAACUUCGGGAGAAGGGGGUGCUCUUUAGGGUUAACGCCCAGGAGAGCCGCAGUGAAUAGGCCCAAGCGACUGUUUAUCAAAAACACAGGUCUCUGCUAAACCGUAAGGUGAUGUAUAGGGGCUGACGCCUGCCCGGUGCUGGAAGGUUAAGAGGAGUGGUUAGCUUCUGCGAAGCUACGAAUCGAAGCCCCAGUAAACGGCGGCCGUAACUAUAACGGUCCUAAGGUAGCGAAAUUCCUUGUCGGGUAAGUUCCGACCCGCACGAAAGGCGUAACGAUUUGGGCACUGUCUCAACGAGAGACUCGGUGAAAUCAUAGUACCUGUGAAGAUGCAGGUUACCCGCGACAGGACGGAAAGACCCCGUGGAGCUUUACUGUAGUCUGAUAUUGAAAUUCGGCACAGCUUGUACAGGAUAGGUAGGAGCCUGAGAUACGUGAGCGCUAGCUUACGUGGAGGCGUUGGUGGGAUACUACCCUCGCUGUGUUGGAUUUCUAACCCGCACCAUUUAUCAUGGUGAGACAGUGUCAGAUGGGCAGUUUGACUGGGGCGGUCGCCUCCUAAAGAGUAACGGAGGCGCUCAAAGGUUUCCUCAGAAUGGUUGGAAAUCAUUCAUAGAGUGUAAAGGCAUAAGGAAGCUUGACUGCGAGACUUACAAGUCGAGCAGGGUCGAAAGACGGACUUAGUGAUCCGGUGGUUCCGCAUGGAAGGGCCAUCGCUCAACGGAUAAAAGCUACCCCGGGGAUAACAGGCUUAUCUCCCCAAGAGUUCACAUCGACGGGGAGGUUUGGCACCUCGAUGUCGGCUCAUCGCAUCCUGGGGCUGUAGUCGGUCCCAAGGGUUGGGCUGUUCGCCCAUUAAAGCGGUACGCGAGCUGGGUUCAGAACGUCGUGAGACAGUUCGGUCCCUAUCCGUCGUGGGCGUAGGAAAUUUGAGAGGAGCUGUCCUUAGUACGAGAGGACCGGGAUGGACAUACCUCUGGUGUACCAGUUGUCGUGCCAACGGCAUCGCUGGGUAGCUAUGUAUGGACGGGAUAAGUGCUGAAAGCAUCUAAGCAUGAAGCCCCCUCAAGAUGAGAUUUCCCAACUUCGGUUAUAAGAUCCCUCAAAGAUGAUGAGGUUAAUAGGUUCGAGGUGGAAGCAUAGCGAUAUGUGCAGCUGACGAAUACUAAUCGAUCGAAGACUUAAUCAAAUUUUA